GGCGACGUAGCUCAGUGGCAGAGCGGGGCCCUCAUAAAGCCUAGGUCGGAGGUUCGAUCCCUCCCGUCGCCACCA
rnacentral:tRNA from 1 species